rnacentral:misc_RNA from 1 species
AGCACAGCGUCGCCCGUGUUCCCCUGCGAGCACCAGAUGUUGGUGGUUACGCAAUGUAGUUUGCGGCGCUCCGCCAGCUCCAUGGCGCGGCGUAGCAGCGUGCGGUCUUUCAAUUCCAUGUCG